rnacentral:rRNA from 1 species
UACGUAGGGGGCAAGCGUUGUCCGGAAUUAUUGGGCGUAAAGGGCGCGUAGGCGGCCUGUUAAGUCGAACGUGAAAUCCCCGGGCUCAACCCGGGAACUGCGUCCGAUACUGGCAGGCUUGAAUCCGGGAGAGGGAUGCGGAAUUCCAGGUGUAGCGGUGAAAUGCGUAGAUAUCUGGAGGAACACCGGUGGCGAAGGCGGCAUCCUGGACCAUUACUGACGCUGAGGAGCGAAAGCCAGGGGAGCAAACGGG